AAAGAGCUUUCCCGCUAUCCGCUUAUCCGUUAUUGUUUUCGUUUAUCGGACUCCUAAUAUUAUGAUAAUAAUUGUCCAGGGUAUACCGUAUGCGGACGCGAUGAACAAGACACUGGUGUUUGCCAUAUUCGAUUUCGACCGGUUUUCCAAGCACGAUCAGAUCGGCGAAGUAAAGGUGCCGUUGUGCCAGAUCGAUUUGGCCCAGACGAUCGAAGAAUGGAGGGAAUUGCAAUCGGUCGAAGGGGAAGGAGGACAGGUCAGUAGUAAUCGAAAACGAUCGCGGCGAGUAAUUAAUAAUAGUAAUAAUAAUCAUUCAAUUAAUAUCAUGUUAAAUAUUGAAAAGCCUUUCCGGGUGUUCUUGUCCACCGUAUAUUGUUCGAUUAUAUACAUCUACACGCAGACGUACCUUGUCUUUUCGAGGAUGAAAUGUUUUAACGAUACUCGUUGAAAAUAUUAUAAUUACACGACCCGUCGUAUCCACGCGCGGUUGGUAAAACGUGCUACCGACCCGGAAUUCAGCUGUAAAAACUGCUCGGGCUACAGGUAAACGUGUAAUAGUUAUUAAGAAACCAAAUUUUCACCGUAAACUAGGAAGAACGACGCACUGUGCGACAUUGAUAGUUUUUCGAUACCAAAAAUGUUUUUAAAAAGUCUGACGCCGGUAACGGGUGUGCCACGAUUUUGGGAGAGAAAUCGAAAGGGAGGAUAUAACACGGGGUGAAUAAUUUAUUUCGCAACGAUAAAAACCGUCGGAAAAACAAUUUCCCGUAGUUUUUCUACGGAAAAACAAUUCUGAGCAGAGUCAAUCCGGAAAUCGACAAAAACCGCCGGUUUUUCGACGUUUAUUAAGAAAACUGCACAAAAUGACCGCCUAUAAUUAGAUCAAAAAUGCUACAAAAAAUUCCCAUAAAUGAUUUAUUGGAACAAGAUUUUUCGUAAAAAAGUAGUUUACAGAUACACACAUACACACACACACACACACACAAACACGUACACACACGUACACAUAUACACAUCAUAGUAAAACCAAAACGUUCCUCGACUUCGCUCAGUAGUAAGAAUCUAAAUGUUGUUAAAUUGUUCUGAAAUGUGACAUGUUUUUCAAACUCGGACAACUAUUUUCGCAGUAAUGAUAUCGAAAAACUAAAACCAACGUUGCAUAUUGCAGGCGCUCUCUUUUGUUUUUUUUUAACAGUGAAAAUUUCGUUUCUUAAUUAAAUCUGCAUAAUAAGAGUACAGUGUAUGCCGGCGGUAAACGGUUUCUCCGAAUUUUUUUUUUAAUGUUAAUUUCUCGGUCGAUUACACGAUAAAUACUCGUUAUUUAUUACUCGAGACCACUUGAAAACACAUAUUUCAAAGUGAAUUAAGUAAAAUUUCCUUGAGUUCGAUUUGGAUUUCGUUUUUCACAAAAUGUCGAGAAAAUCGCAUGCGCGACAGGCGACCCGGGACAGGUAGCACGUUCGCCGUCGUGACCCGAACGUCUCGCGGAAAUUCGCAUUUCAAAUAAUACCAAUCCAAACGUAUGACGUUGUAAAAGUACAUUUGUUUGUUUUUUUUAUCCAAACAUUUCUUCGUAUAAAACACACACGGUAGCCACGCCCCGCGUCGCAAUAAUAAUUAUAAUAAUAAUAUUACACUUUUGCCGCCACUCGAAUCGUAAAAUACUCGCGUUCGCCGCAUUCAUAAUACACGUGUUAUAAAACCGACAUUAUGUGCAAUAACUUCCCGUGCAAAACUUCCGAAAGCGGGAAAACAAUCACUAUUUAUUACUUUAUGAUAAUAUAUUUUGUUUUAUUAUUUUUUUAUUAUUAUUAUUAUUACUUUCGCAUAGAUAAAAAAUAUUAGUAUUUUUUUUUAUUUUUUUUUAAUUUUUUUAAUUUUUAUACUGUUUUUUUAUAUACAUCUUAUACUACUUAUAAUAUUAUUAAUGAAAUGCAUAUAUAUAUUUAACCGUUUGAACCAUUUUACAUAAUAUAUUAUAUAUAUAUAUAUAUAUAUAUAUUUUUUUUUUAUUUUUCUUAAUUAACCUACUUACUUCAUUUUGUUAAUACAUCAUAAUAUUGUAUUGAUCUAGGCGCAACGAUUUUCGUAUAAAACGAGCAUGCAAUACUUUUUUAUUCUAUAUAUAUAUAUAUAUAUAUAUAUAUAUACUUUUUUACUUAUCUAUACUUACUAUAUUAUACUAUAUUAUUACGCAAUUAUUAUAUAUUAUAUACACAUAUAAUAAUGUAUAUUAUUUACAUAUACAUCAUAAACAAUACAUAUUAUAAUUUAUACAUUUAUAAUAACGAUAAUAUAUUAUAAUAUGUAUUCGUAUGUACGUGUAUAUAUUAUAAUAUUGCAAUAUUUUAUUACUUCUUUACAUAUUAUUAUUAUUAUUAUUAUCUAUACAAUUAUACUUACUUACAAUUUUUUUUCCAUAUAUUAUUAUUAUUAUCUAUAUUUGUUGUUAUUCGCAAGCAUUGUAUUUUGUUAUUUUUUUCUGUUUGUAUUUGUUUUGGUUUGAAUACAAAAAAUCGACCCGAUUUUUUUGGAACACGGUGCACCACGAAAACCAACAAUGUAAAAUAUGUAUACUCACGUAAGUACCGACGUAACGGCCUCCCAAGCCGAACUAUAGCCCUGUGUCAUACCGAAAUGUGUGCUGUGUCUCGUGUUUUUGUGGUGUUCUGCUAUAUUAUAAUAUUAUUAUUACGAUUUGUUUUUGGUUUUGUUUUGUUUUUUUUUUUUUUUUAUUUCGUCAGUUUUUAUAUGUUAUAUAUUAUUAUUAUUAUUAUUAAAACCCUUUAUUACGUUUUCAAUGUUCUAGGACUGCUGUUUUUUUGUUUUUUUGUUUUUUUUUUUAGAUAUUAUACCUACCUAAGUAUAUUGUUAUUAUUAUUACAUAUACUUGCGUUUGGCAGUUUUUCACGGUUGCGAUAUUAUUAUUAUUAUUAUUAGGUACGAGAAAACGGACGCGUGACUUUAUCACGGUCUUGUUCCCCCGAUCGCCGUUAACGAUUAGCGUUGACGUCAUUACAUUAUAUUUUGAUAUAUUAUAUAGGUACUAUAACUGUAUAUUAUUAUUAUUAUUAUUAUUAUUAUUAUUAUUAUUAUUAUUAUGAUUGUUGUCAUGAUCGAGACGUGACGCGGACGCAGAGUAAUAUUUUCGGUAUCAACGGUCGCCGCAGCAAUCGAUAAUUUACCAAAAAAAACUGACACUAACCUAACCGCCCGCACCCCGGACGAACUCGACCAAAUAUCUUCGCCUACCCGCCCGUACAAUAUGGACGAUAUUAAUUGUUUUUCUCGCGACAAUAAUGGCUGUUGAAUUCAGAACCGUACAUUACGUUUUUCCAUUCAAAGACGUGUUGUUUGCCCUUGUUCAACCGAAAAAAGUCAUCAAUAAAUUUUCACGCUAGACCGUGCGCAGGACCGUCCUCAAAAGGGGGGGGGUGAACGGGGCCCGAGCCCCUGGGUCUCGCGCUUUUUACUAAGAUUUGGGCCCUCGCGUUUGGCAGGAAAAAAAAAACACUAAUUUAUAUUUAAUAUAAUAUUGAAACGUGAAAAUAUUUUAAAUUUAGCCCCGGACCUCGCGAAUCGCUAUUCAUAGGCGCAACUAGAGGGGGCAGGAGCUAAGUCCCUCCAGUUUACCGAAUGGCCACCCCAGUAACGACGAAUGUAGUUAUAGAUACAUUGAUAUUUUAUAAUAAUUAUUUGCGUUUGUUUUCACGACUACGAUAAUCUAAUACGACAUUAUGUUUUCAAAUUCAAGCGAAUAAAUCUGUUCGACGUUAUAGCCGCCGUCACCACCCACCCCCUGCCCGAAAUUUUCACCCGAAUCGCGCCCACGGUCGUGUCCGUUGGUUUACCCCAUAUCCGCGCCGAAAAUACGCGCAGUUUUACCGAAAUACACCCGUAUAAUUUCGUCGGGCCUUUAUUGUCGGUACCGAAAUGCUAAGCGUGCGCGUAACGUGCGGUUAAUGUUCAUGUCGUACAAUACUAUAAUUAUAACUGCAGUAGCGGGUAGCUAUCUCUGGAAACAUGCAAAACUUUCGCGUAUAAUAUCAUACUGUACAUGUACAUUAUGUUAUUGUCGGUAUAAAAUAAAGGUUACGUUUUCGUACAAUUUAUAAUAAUAUACGCAAUAUACGCGUAGUCUUUGAGUAACGUAUUAUUCGACGUAUACAUCGGUAUGAUAUUUAUCGCGAUUUUUUUUUUUUUUUUUAGAUUUAAUUAGGUCCCACGUAUUACAAUAUUAUCAUAAUAUUAGCAGCGUAUACCUCCUAUCUAUUUAGCGUCGUAGGUUUUCCGUCGAUUAUACUGUGAUACUAUACUAUACUAUAAUGUACAAUCGGACCGUGUUUACUCAGACUAAUAAUUCUGUCUUUUUUUUUUUUUACGUUUUAAAACUAUUUAUUAAGAGAAUAUCGCGCGACAAACGUUUAUUAAGUGGCGUGGACGAGCGUGGCCGUUUAUUUCAACAGUCAAAAAAAUAACGAACACUUUUCGCCCCGAAAAGUAUUCGAACGCAGCAUUUUAUCCGUAAAAAUUUAAAAUCAUUUCGUGUACGAAAUUCGUGUUCGAAAACAUCACGAAAAAAACAAAAAAGUAUUAUCCUGACGACAGCGUUAUAUCCAUGUAUAGAAUAUAUGUCGUAUGUUUAUUCUCAAUUCACCAUAUUGAAUAACAAGUGCUUGAAUUGGAUGGAGGGAGGACGGGCAGGGGACGGAGCUCUUUUACUUUAGAUAUUUUUUUUUUCCGCGUCCCUAACUAAUUCGUUUGACGGAAGCAUGGUACGCGUCUCGUUUUUCAAAGAAUUUUAUUUUCCAAAAAUAUCAUGUAUCAUCAACUCGGAAAAAUUGUACGGUUUUUUCUUUAUCAGAAUUCAAUAUGUACCGUUCAGUUAUAAUUAUUGUGUUGUUUCUGUGUUGCACCUUUACCUCUGUUUAUAAGUAAUUUAAUCAAUAACUAAACGUUGCGAUUUUUAUUAUACGAACGUACAAGAAACCAUUUAGUAAAAUACAUAAAUUAUAAAUACAUAAGUUUUAACUUAGCUUGCAGGAGUAUAAUUUGGUUACGCUUUCUUUUUUUAAUAAAUGUUUGAUCGUAUUUUCGAAUAUCUCGAAAAGCCGUGUAAGGUGAGCGUGUGGGGUAGAGCAAAUCAACGAUCGUAAGGGACGCUAUAAUUUUAUUUAAGUUUCGUUGUUCGUUUAUUUUCCCGAUUCGAGCACUGGGUUAUUUAAACCAAAAGCGGACGGGUCGUUCGCCGGACGAAAAACCGCGUGUUCUUUGAUUUUCAUUUACGCUAAACGAUUUUUCGACUCGAGAUUUUUUUUUUUUUGUGUUCGACGAGCAACGUUCGCACGCUGACAUCCUCUUAAAAUACGUCGAAUUAAGAAAAAAAAAAAAAAAAACCGUCAAACAAUAACGGCCAUUGUUAAAACCAUAACGAUGACGACGAAAAUUAACGACCAACAGUAAUAUUCUAUGAUAACGACGUUGUAUCGCAUACGGACGAAACGCCCGGGCGAAAACGAUUCCGGCGCGUUUUACCAAAAACGAUUAUUUUCAUUAUUUUUACAACGUAAAUAUAACGGCGUGGUAUAUUUGUGUUAUAAACGGUAUAUUCAUUUUUUUUUAAUCAAUACCUGACGACGAAUAUUGUAUUUUAACAGUCCGUAACGCGUACAUAAUAGUAUAAUAUAUUAUUUAUGAAUCGACAUUUCGACUGUACACGAUUUUACCGUUAGUAUAUUUAAAUAGAUGUUAUACUAUCAUCCAUAGAUCAACGGUGCUAGACCACAUAUAAUAUUAUAUUAUAUAUAUAAUUAUAUAUAUGUAUACUUAUAGAAUUACUAUAGCGUAGUAUUAUUACUGUCGAAAAACUUAGGCAUUAUAUUUUACUGUACACUUAGACGGAAUACUAGAAUUCGAAUACAAUAUACACAUAAACACAUACAUAUUCCCGUGUUUUGAAAACCUACAAUAAAAUAACGUUAAUGAUAUAAAAUUAAUAACGAUAAUGUGUCCGCCUGUUAGAUGUUGUCCGAAACUCACACGCGUAUAGUGGCACAAAUCGUUUAUGGAACGUGCUGAUGUAUUGCCCACAUUAUAUAGUAUCGUUAUAUUAUUGUAAUAACUGUGUAUACGGUUCCCCGUGUAUAAAAUCAAUUUGUUGCAAUUAAUAUUAUUAUUUUUUUUUUUUAGAAAAUUGGAUUUUCCUCCUUCCCCUCCCCCCCCACCGCCAAUACUAUAUUUUAUUAUUGUUACAAUACCGAUUCAGAAUCGUGAUCGAAAAAAAAAAAAAAACCACGUCUCGACGUUAAAACACUGUUCGUUUUGCCGUUUUUUUAGGAUAAUAAGCUGGGAGACAUUUGCUUCUCGUUGCGUUACGUGCCCACCGCCGGGAAAUUGACUGUCGUGAUAUUGGAAGCUAAAAAUUUAAAGAAAAUGGACGUCGGUGGACUCUCAGGUAUAAUAUAAAAAAAAAAAAAAAAAAGGAAACACGACAACGAACUGAAACCGACAUUGCCCAUACACACGAUUCGUCGCUUCCCAGUCCCCCGUUUAAAGCUUUUGAUGCGCUAUACGAAUGUGUAUUUUAUAAUAAUUAUUAUAUUGCCUAUUUAUGUGUAUACGCAGAUCCGUACGUGAAAAUCGCCUUGAUGCAAAACGGAAAACGGUUGAAGAAAAAGAAAACCAGCAUAAAAAAGUGUACUCUCAAUCCGUACUACAACGAGUCGUUUACAUUCGAAGUGCCGUUCGAACAGAUACAGGUAAAUAAAAUUAAUAAAUACACGUUUCAAUAAACGCCGAACAAAACGAAAGUGGCGGUUACAUCACAGUCUUGAGGGAGGGGCGGAUUUCAAUGCCGUGGUUGUCAUCACGGACUUCAACCCCCAUCUCCCUGUCCUUAUCCUUUUUUGGUAUUUUAUUACUCCAGUGUGUAGUCGUACGGAAAAUGUGUUACGUACACUUUGGCGGUUUUAAUUGAAAAUAUUGGUCUUGACCCCUAUUAUUAGACAUUUUAUCGUUUCUGUCCUCCCCUCGGAUAUCUAUCGAAAAAUCAUAAACAUGCAUUCAACGAAUGCGAACUUGGAAUGAUGUUAAUUAUGCACUGCAGGGUUAAACGAUACAGGCAGUAACCGAACGGUCGAAACAACCAUCGGGAGAACAAAAUAUUAUGGUUUUAUUAAAGUUUUUGCGACACGAAUGUCAAAUCAAAUUAAAAUAACGAGUCGAAGUAUAAUUUAUGAUAUCCGUUCUCCACUGUGGACCGUCGAAAGUCGGUCGGUGAAACCGAUUGACGAUGUCAGCCGUUUUAGUAUGUGUAUCGGUUUUUUCUCUUAAUUUUUCGACACGUCAGUGUUGUCAUUUCAUAUUGUGGACAACUUUUCAUGUCAAACCGUACACAAAAUUAAAAUAACGAUUAUUUGAAAAAAAAUAAUAAUAAUAACGUAUACAUUUCUCUUUUUUUUAUUAUUAUUAUUUAACAGCGUUUUAUAAUUGCAGUUUUUAAUUGCGCCUUUUAACGUUUGAAUAAAUAAACGAUCACCGAACGAACCACGGACAAUAAUCUGUGCAUAUUGUAAGCCGUAAUAAGUUACCCGUACAAAUAAAACAAUAUCCAGAGUAUUUGAGGGAUUGCGCGUAGGCAAUUUCAAUGCCAUUUUUGAAAAAGUGAACAUUGAUCAUCUCGAAUGAAAUUUCAAAUAAAUUUAACGUAGGCAAUAACGAAUCCCCUCGCAUUUAUUACGCCACAAGUAAUAAUACUUAUUGCGCAUUCGAGAGAAAUCCGUUUCGCGCAGUUGAAAAGUACUCGGGCUAAGAAACCAAAUGUUCAUCACAAAAACGAAAAACCUCGCAGCGACCGAGUUUCAAAACCGUAAAACUAUCCGAUUACCAACAAUUACCGAUAUCCAAUAUUAAUACUUGUUUAACACUGUUCGCGGUAUCGGAGGGAAAAAAUAUAAACUUCGUUGCACGGCGACAUUUCCUACGUUUCGUACGGUGAAUAUGGUCGGUUUCUUACGAAAGUAAGAUUACCUAAGAUCCAAGACCCGAAUAAUAUUGUUGUCGAAUGAAUGAAACUGCUUUUCAUUCGUCUUAUACAGACUGUCCGUCAACGUCGCGCACCGAAUGUAUUGGCCCAUCGACUGUUUAAGACUUUCACUGGUUCAAAAUUAUACAAAUUGACAAAAAAUUAAUUAAAAUAAAAAAUACAAUAUUGCGCGAGAUUUUCUCGGUAAUUCGCCGAUUCAUUCAAUCCCCGGGCCUGCCGUCCAUAUCCUGAAAAUUCGGCCUGUUGUAUGGUUUUUAUGUACACUUACUUAACUUCUUUUUUUUUUUUCGUAGUUAUUACGAGUUUAAGGUCAUACCGUUCGAACGUUUUGUUUCCAGUUUUCCCUGUCCAAUGGUUCUUUUCAUUCCAAUCCACUCAUGGCUUUACUUUUCCUACUUAUUCCGUCGCCCUAUUUUCCCGUCCUCCAAACGAUGUUCCUCCUCCCCCCCCUCUAGUGAUGCAUUUCCUGUAGUAAGUAGAAACGAUUCCUAUUUCGCCUUUACGCCGUACCUCUUUCGUGUUCGUUUCAGUCUCUCGGUACCAAUAAAAGACUUCCACGAUAUUCGUACUCGGAUACAUCUCCCUUGUACAUAGUUCCCGGUUAUUUCAUAUUUCUCACUAUCAGAUGUAUAUGCUUCUUACGUCUCCACUCGUCUAACUUAAUUCACUUACGUUUUUUUUUUUUUUUUUUACGAAUUUUUCAGAAAGUCAACCUGGUAGUGACCGUAGUCGAUUACGACCGUAUCGGCACGUCCGAGCCCAUCGGCAAAGUGGUGUUGGGCUACAACGCUACCGGCACCGAGCUGCGACACUGGUCGGACAUGUUGGCGUCGCCGAGACGUCCGAUCGCACAGUGGCACACGCUAAAGGAUCCGGACGACGACGCCAAGAACUAAGAACAACAAAAAACCGCUGUACACGAUAUCCGCCACCGCCGCCGACGAUAAUACAAUAACGAAUAUUAUAAAAAAAAAAAAAAAAAAACAAGCUUAACCCCCGGUAUUAUAUUAUUAUAUACAAUAUGUUUUAGGUAACACAUAUUAUUUUACUAUCAAAAAUACGUAACGAUAUGAAAAAUAAAUAGACAAAAUAAUAAUUAUUAUUUUACCCGCCGGCAAACUAGACGUAUACCGGUAUAACAUAUAUAUAAUACACAAAAAACAAAAAAAAAACCGGAGGCAGUGGCCCGUCGUCGUCAUUCUUAACAACACUAAAAAAAAAAAAAAAUAAAAACCUAAAAAACUAUUACAUUUAAAAUUUACCUACCGUUUUGUAGCGCGGACACAUUUCGCUGUAGAAACCGCGAAAACGACAUUGGAUUGCCGACGAACGAUCAUAUAGAAUUUUCCAACACAAUGUUUACAAUAUUACCGUAGUUAACAGUGUUCGAGCAUUCCCCCAUCGAGUAUAUCGAAUAUCAUGUUUGGCCGUCCUUUUACCGCGGGCGGACCCUUUUCAAGCCGCUCCCCGACGGCAGCGCCGUAAAAACCGUUUCGAUCUUCCUCCCCUCCCCCCACCCCCGCAAAUAGUUUCCACAAAUUUCACAAUGUGCGGACACGAUAAUAUUGUUCUCGCGAAAAUAUCCUAAACAUUUCAAAAUUACAUUUGUGUCGUACAAUGUAUUCGAUUUCCGAUAGGCAGUGAUAUUUUGUAUGAACUCAGGUAAUAAGACGUACAGACGUACACACCUCUAUGGGCGGGUAGAGUUUCAGUGGUUAUAAUCCGCGCGUAAUAUUGAAAAAUAUUUUACUGCGUAGGUGCGUACGCGCGGUUUGACUAGUUUAUACCAAAAUACCGUUUUGACCGAAAAGGGUUCCGCCAUACAUUUCACAGACUCUGAUCGUUUUUUUUUUUUUUUCAUUGUUUUCGUGUUGUUGUUCUAUUAUUCCUUCUGUGUAAAUAAUAUUAUAAUUAUAGUCGAUAAAUAAUAUGUAUACAAUAAAAAAAAAAAAAAAGGUAAAAAACUAUAGACAGCCGACGGUUUGACAAUAUUAUCGUUCGUGAUCCGUUACAAGAACCGUAUGAAAUUGCCCGGUUAUAUAAUUACACUAUACACGGGGGCCAUUGGCGUACACAGGAGGGGGCGGGUCACAAGGCGAUUGCCUCCUCACAAUUUCGAUUGUUUUUUUUUUGUUUCUGCUUAAUUCGUUUAGGCGUUCAAUAAUAUUAUUUCCAUAGUAACGUAAACGUAUACGGGUUUCGGUAUUAUUAUAAGCUACACGCUCGUUUGCCGGCAACAGACGUGAUAAUCGGUAAUAAUAAGACGUGUAGGGGGGGGGGGCGGGAAAGACGAAUAUCGACAAAUUGGAUCAGUAAAAACGCGUUUUUAAUAAAAUCGGCACCCUCCCUCGCGCCCCACGCCGUUGAACUACACUCGAAUCCGUCGCUGGAGUAUCGCACCGAUUGGGCCCGUGAAAUAUUUUGUUUCCCACUGUUAUGUUGUGCGGACGAUAAUAUUGUAGAAACGUCGGGGACAACAAGAUAGGGGUACCCAAGGUGUUGCGACUGUUUUCGCAUAUUUUCCAUCGUAUUGUCGCGCGUACGUGGCUCGCUCGAAUAUUUCGCCGGUUUAAAAGACACGAUUCCGCCCUCCCUGUGUGCCUGUUAAACAACGACACAACCGUGGCCAGGCCCCGCGUAAACAAUUCGUAUAGAGCCGGCUGUCUGCAGUCUUUUUACCCAAGCAGCAACACGUUUAAAAUACUGUUAUCGCGCCGUAGACGCCGUGUUUUCGAAAAAUAAUAAUCAUAACAGCGAGACCGUCGGACGCGCUCUAAAAGCUUUUCGAACGAAAUUUUUUUUUUUUUUUCUAAAAAAAUCGCGCGUUGACACAGGCCACGUACAUGGCGUGUAUUAUAAUACCCGGCCCCGCGGUUUCGAAUCGACGGGAAAAAUCCACGCGGACCGCAAUAACGACCGCGAUGUUCGUAAAACAAUACCGUCAACUCGCGUAGCUAUUCGAACUCCGUUUAACCGACAAAAUAAUCACCGUUUCGCCGUCGCGUUUGGUUUUUGUUUUUCCAGCUACAAAUCGCAAAAAAAAAAAAACCGUCGCUCCGUUAAUUGUUAUUAACGCGUCCGGGCUUUUCGCACGGUCCCGUUUCGAACCGACGACAACGGAAUUUCACCCGUUACGGGGGUUGCGCCGUGCGCGGACGUUCCGACGGCGUCCACGCGCGACGCGAUAAUAUCACGGGGGAGAAGAAAACGUGCGCGCACGCGUGUGAACCGCGACGGAAAUAUCAUCGGCAGAUCGGUCGGGGCCCCGUCGGUCUCAAAACCACGAUUGCGGAUCAGUGCCGCGCGGUCAGGGGAAAACGAAUAUUGUAUCGUAUACGCCCUCCCGCGCCCCCGCCCGUAACGAUAAUAUACGCAUGAUAUUUAUUUUUGGUGUGUGCGGGGGGAAAA